UGUAGCUAACGCGUUAAGCACUCCGCCUGGGGACUACGGUCGCAAGACUAAAACUCAAAGGAAUUGACGGGGACCCGCACAAGCGGUGGAGCAUGUGGUUUAAUUCGAUGCAACGCGAAAAACCUUACCACUUCUUGACAUGGAGGCUAGAUCUUCCUUAACGGGAAGGCGCAGUUCGGCUGGGCCUCGCACAGGUGCUGCAUGGCUGUCGUCAGCUCGUGUCGUGAGAUGUUGGGUUAAGUCCCGCAACGAGCGUAACCCUCAUCCUUAGUUACCAGCGGGUAAUGCCGGGCACUUUAAGGAAACUGCCAGUGAUAAACUGGAGGAAGGUGGGGAUGAUGUCAAGUCAGCACGGCCCUUAUGGGGUGGGCUACACACGUGCUACAAUGGCGACUACAAUAGGUUGCAACGUCGCAAGGCUGAGCUAAUCCGUAAAAGUCGUCUCAGUUCGGAUUGUCCUCUGUAACUCGAGGGCAUGAAGUCGGAAUCGCUAGUAAUCGUGGAUCAGCAUGCCA
rnacentral:rRNA from 1 species